rnacentral:rRNA from 1 species
GAUGAACGCUGACAGAAUGCUUAACACAUGCAAGUCUUUGGCGAAGCUGUGCUUGCACAGCCUAGCCAAGGCGGACGGGUGAGUAACGCGUCAGGAACUUGCCCUGCAGUCAGGGAUAACAGACGGAAACGACUGAUAAGACCUGGUAAAGUCAGGCGGACUCAUGUCCAGCCUGAUGAAAAGAGAUGCUGCAGGAGAGCCUUGCGUCCUAUUAGCUUGUUGGUGGGGUAACGGCCCACCAAGGCGAUGAGAGGUAGCCGGCCUGAGAGGGUGGACGGCCACAAGGGGACUGAGAUACGGCCCUUACUCCUACGGGAGGCAGCAGUGGGGAAUAGUGGACAAUGGGGGCAACCCUGAUCCAGAAAUUCUGUGUGCACGAUGAAGGUUUUCGGAGUGUAAAGUGCUUUCAGCAGGGAAGAAAAAAAUGACGGUACCUGCAGAAGAAGCGACGGCUAAAUACGUG